UACAGAGGUGGCAAGCGUUGUUCGGAAUUACUGGGCGUAAAGGGCGCGUAGGCGGCCAUCUAAGUCAGACGUGAAAUCCCUCGGCCUAACCGAGGAACUGCCUUUGAUACUGCUUGGCUUGAGGCCGGGAGAGGGUAGCGGAAUUCCCAGUGUAGCGGUGAAAUGCGUAGAUAUUGGGAGGAACACCAGUGGCGAAGGCGACUACCUGGCCUGUUCUUGACGCUGAGGCGCGAAAGCUAGGGGAGCAAACGGG
rnacentral:rRNA from 1 species